rnacentral:pre_miRNA from 1 species
GGAAUAUAAGAAUCCGUCUCUUAACUUUUAACUAAAAAAGUUAAGAACCGGCUCUUAAAACUCUUAUUUAAAAACCGGUUCUUAGCUUUUUUAGUUAAAAGUUAAGAGACGGGUUCUUAUAUUCC